GAGAAAUGUUGUUGAUGUAGUUAAAUGCAUGAUUAUUUUUUGUCAACAUGGGGAUGUAAUCAUUGUUACGCCAUUGUCAUCUUAUGAUUGUUUACAGCCAGAUGUAGGGUUGUAAUCAUUGUUGUGUUAUUUUUGUUUCUUUAUUGUAUGCCAUACAAUAUAUGUUGUCGUUGUUGUGAAAAAGGUGAGUCACAAUUUCAAAUGUUGGGACUUGUGAUUUGUCCCAAGCUCGAAUGAAGGGGCUUGGAGCUCAGAUGAAGGGGCUCUGG
rnacentral:lncRNA from 1 species